rnacentral:lncRNA from 1 species
UGCAUGACAAUUGCUUUGUCUUCAAUCCCAAGAAAUGAAACAUUAUCGUACUUUAUAAAACAUCCAUCCAGCUGUAACGUUCCGCCACACGACACGGGGCAGAGCGUUCCAAGCUGAGUCAGUGCCGCGGCGACACAGUUAUGACAUUCAGCACUGCUUAAGUCGCCGCGGCACUGAAAAAGACCGUACGCCACGUCGUACUGAGUCGAACCGGGCAUGGAUAUCUUGAAAUUGUUGAAAUUUGACAUUGACGCUGAGUUGACUAAGGAGCUGAGUAGCGAGUUGACGUUCGACUCGUAAACCGUGCCCGGA